UCAUAUAUCAUAUAAAAAGCUCGUAUAUCAUCGGUAAUAUGGUCCGAAAGUUUCUACCUGCUAACCAUAAAUUAGCAGACUACGGGGUAUUGUGUAUUUAGU
rfam:Clostridium botulinum A str. ATCC 3502 complete genome